rnacentral:rRNA from 1 species
CCUACGGGGGGCAGCAGUGAGGAAUAUUGGUCAAUGGGCGCUAGCCUGAACCAGCCAAGUAGCGUGAAGGAUGACUGCCCUAUGGGUUGUAAACUUCUUUUAUAUGGGAAUAAAGUGCAGUAUGUAUACUGCUUUGCAUGUACCUUAUGAAUAAGGAUCGGCUAACUCCGUGCCAGCAGCCGCGGUAAUACGGAGGAUCCGAGCGUUAUCCGGAUUUAUUGGGUUUAAAGGGAGCGUAGGCGGGUUGUUAAGUCAGUUGUGAAAGUUUGCGGCUCAACCGUAAAAUUGCAGUUGAUACUGGCAUCCUUGAGUACAGUAGAGGUAGGCGGAAUUCGUGGUGUAGCGGUGAAAUGCUUAGAUAUCACGAAGAACUCCGAUUGCGAAGGCAGCCUGCUGGACUGUAACUGACGCUGAUGCUCGAAAGUGUGGGUAUCAAACA